GAUAUAUUUUAAAUUGAACUUCUAAUUCAAUAUUAGUGAUUUUAAUUUUAAUCACAUAUAUUU
rnacentral:tRNA from 1 species